UUUCUGCCUUUCGGUUCCAGCUUUAAUUAGAAUCAGUGAGAAAAAGUUACACUGGCGUAAUUCCCAGUGCCACCCGGCUUUAAGGAUCAUUGACCAACCUCCAGCCAGGGUCGCGCGUCAUGACGUCACAACGGAGGGUAGGUGGUGACCCUUCCUGAAUCGAAAGAAUAGGACCGGAGUUCGAUUGGCCAAUGAUCUGCAAGCAACUGAGCAAUUGGCUUACUCUGCUGUCAAUCACAGAGUGGGCAGGGUGUCUGUGGAUGAAAACCUGAAGCUGCCCCAUUGGCUGUUGCGCCUGUCAGUUAUGGGGCUGUUUUCCCUGACUGGCACAAGCAGCUGUCAGUUAGCAGCAGAGGUACCUGAUAGGCUGAGGCGAAUGUCAGUCAGCAUGCGGAGUUCCCUCAUUGCAGGAAGUGCCUGACCGUCAGCGGAAGGAGCGCUUUGAUUGGCUGUGGCGGCUGUCAGUCACAUGUUUUUCUUCAUUAAUUGAACAACUGAUGUAACCGGAUAUUUCACCGCGUUCUUGAUCUGCUCUCGGAACUUGGACUGAGUCACCCCAUAAAUAAAUGUGUUUGUGCAGCAAUUUAAA